GAGUGGUAGUUCAGUUUGGUUAGAAUGCCUGCCUGUCACGCAGGAGGUCGCGGGUUCGAGUCCCGUCCACUCC
rnacentral:tRNA from 1 species